AGAUGUUGCAGAUAGACUCCCAAUUCUUCUGACAUCGUCUGGCGCUGAACAAUUAUUAGGCAUUCCAAAAAUUGGAGCAGGAACUGGAAUUGAGCAAGCUUCAGCAGUAAACUCAACUUUGAAGCAUUGGGGUGUCAGUGAUUAUGUCAAAGCGGUGUGCUUUGAUACUGCAUAUACAAAUACAGGCAUUCAUCGUGGCGCUGGCGUAGAACUAGAGAAUCUUUUAGGGCGAAAGCUCAUUUGGUUGCCAUGUCGUCAUCACGUCAUUGAACUACUCAUUAAAGGUGUUUUUGAAGUAUACUGGCCAACGCAAAAUGGCCCAAAUGUUUCAAUUUUUGGUAGAUUCAAAAAUAAUUGGAACAAGAUAGAUAAAUCAAAAUACAGUGCAGGAAUUAAUGAUCCUAUUGUUGCUAAAGUACUAUCAGAGAAAAAAGACGAAACAUUGGAUUUUAUUGAAAGUUAUUCGCUGAAAUAUCUUCCGAGGAAUGAUUACCGAGAAUUUUUAGAGUUAUCGUCAAUUUUUUUAGGAGUUAUUCCAAAGA